UGGGAGUCUGUCCUGGUCUUUU
rnacentral:misc_RNA from 1 species